AGCUACUUGAAUACAAGGACCAGGAAAGCCUCAGGAAAGCACAGACCUCGGUGGCAGGCGUGAGGAGGCCUAAUGUGCUACAGAAAGAAUAAAAGGUUACUUAUAACUAUAAUUAAGAUGCAUUAAAAUCUAAAAAAAUGUUUAGAAAAGCAGACUCUACAGAAUGCUGAGAAGUCUUCUCUUUUGCAUUAUGAUCUGAUUGGCAGCAGAUCCAGAAGACAACCACCACCAACUGUAGACCUGCAGGAGAGAGGGAAGUAAGCUGAGAUCAGCGAAGGCAGGGUCCUACCUACAUCCAAAGACAAGCAUCCUUAUAAGAGUGAGGCAAAGGACGAUGACACGGGAGAGAAGACCCUGUGAAGACAGAGGCAGAGAUUGGAGUGAUGUGGCUACAAGCCAAGGAAUGCCAGCAGCCACCAGAACCUGGACAAGGCAAGGGCCAUAUUCUCCUCAGAGCCUUCGCCCAACAC